rnacentral:rRNA from 1 species
GGCGAACGUGUGAGUAACACGUGGGUGAUCUGCCCUGCACUUCGGGAUAAGCCUGGGAAACUGGGUCUAAUACCGGAUAGGAGCCAUUUUUAGUGUGAUGGUUGGAAAGUUUUUCGGUGUAGGAUGAGCUCGCGGCCUAUCAGCUUGUUGGUGGGGUAAUGGCCUACCAAGGCGGCGACGGGUAGCCGGCCUGAGAGGGUGGACGGCCACAUUGGGACUGAGAUACGGCCCAG